rnacentral:rRNA from 1 species
CCUACGGGAGGCAGCAGUGAGGAAUAUUGCUCAAUGGACGGAAGUCUGAUCCAGCCAUGCCGCGUGCAGGAAGAAGGCUCUCUGAGUUGUAAACUGCUUUUGCACGAGGGUAAACCUGAAUACGUGUAUUAAGCUGCAAGUCCUGUACGCAUCAGGCUCGGCUAACUACGUGCCAGAAGCAGCGGUAAUACGGAGGGUCCAAGCGUUAUACGGAGUUAUUGGGCGUAGAGGGUGCGUAGGCGGAUUGAGAAGUUAGAGGUGAAGUGUCCGGGCUUAACUCGGGAACUGCCUCUGAUACUGUGGAGCGAGAGAGUAGGUGCGGUAGGUGGAAUGCAUGGUGUAGCGGUGAAAUGCGUAGAGAUCA